rnacentral:rRNA from 1 species
GACGAACGCUGGCGGCGUGCUUAACACAUGCAAGUCGAACGGUGAAGCGCCUUCCUUUUUGGUGGGUGUGGAUGAGUGGCGAACGGGUGAGUAACACGUGAGUAACCUGCCCCCUUCUUCUGGAUAACCGCAUGAAAGUGUGGCUAAUACGGGAUAUUCUGGGUCUGUCGCAUGAUGGGUCUGGGAAAGAUAUUGUUUCGGUGGGGGAUGGGCUCGCGGCCUAUCAGCUUGUUGGUGGGGUGAUGGCCUACCAAGGCGGUGACGGGUAGCCGGCCUGAGAGGGUGGACGGUCACACUGGGACUGAGACACGGCCCAGACUCCUACGGGAGGCAGCAGUGGGGAAUAUUGCACAAUGGGCGCAAGCCUGAUGCAGCGACGCCGCGUGAGGGAUGGAGGCCUUCGGGUUGUGAACCUCUUUCGCCAGUGAAGCAGGCCUGCCUCGUUUGUGGAUGGGUUGACGGUAGCUGGAUAAGAAGCGCCGGCUAACUACGUG